CAGAGGCCCCAAGCGUUACUGAGAAUCACUGGGUUUAAAGGGUGCGUAGGUGGUCCGUUAAGUCCGUUGUGAAAUCCCUGGGCUCAACCCAGGAAAUGCUUCGGAUACUGGCGGACUUGAGGCUAGUAGGGGUCACUGGAACUGACGGUGGAGCGGUGAAAUGCGUAGAUAUCGUCAGGAACGCCAAUGGUGAAGACAGGUGACUGGGCUAGUUCUGACACUGAGGCACGAAAGCGUGGGGACCAAACGGGAUUAGAUACCCCGGUAGUCCACGCCCUAAACGAUGCAGACUAGACUGCAGCGGGUUACACCCCGUUGCGGUCGGAGCGAAAUUGUUAAGUCUGCCACCUGGGAAGUACGGUCGCAAGGCUA
rnacentral:rRNA from 1 species